GGUAGAAGGUAGUUUGAAAAACAGGAAAUAAGUCAGUGGGAGAGAAUACCUGGAGUACUGCGUGUGCAUGAGAGGUCGUUCAGGAGCAAUGGAGCUGUGCAGCUGUUUCUUCUUCUUCUUCUCCUUCCCAUGGAUGUUUUGAAGAAAGGCAACCGGGUCCUGUCUCACGGGACGCUGCCCUUGUUUGUUGUUUGCUGAACUGACCAGGUCCUUGUUUUCCCUAAUGUAAAAACCCACAGGCAUGUUGUAAACAAUAAAAAAAGAUCACCUCAAA